CAGCUAGGCCUCUACCUCGGACCCCCAAAGGCCAGGAGACUCCUAUGCAUCCCUCAAAGCCCAAUUCAAAAGGUGCCUCUUCUGGUUUAAACACUGGACGUCCUCCAUGCGAUUGAGAGCCUAAGGUCAAAAAGAACUGCCAAUAAAUCUUGACCUCUCGUUAGUAGGUUUGUCACGGGACAUGGUAUCAGGGUAACAAUUCUGCAACAACUGUGUAUUACAGGAAAGAGCAUCAGUGGAUAAAUGCGGUGGCCUUGCUCCAAACCCUGGUUCUUUCUGGGAAAGAAAGGAGACACAAACCGGGAAAGGCAAAGCAAGGAAGAACCCCGUGGCGUUGGAUGGGAACUGGAUGGCUCAAUGUGAAAGAAAGCAUGCUGGUUUUUUUUUUUUUUU